GACCUCAAAUGAUCCACCCACCUCAGCCUCCCAAAGUGCCGUGAUUACAGGCAUGAGCCACCAUGCCUGGCUGAUUGAUUAUUUUAAAGAUGACCUUGUUUUCCCUCCCUUACCCAGCAUCUGCUACAGAUGGGCGAUACACAUAGAGGACUUUCCAGUGACUGCUUAGUCAUUGUCACCAAAAACCCAUGUCUCCCAGUGUUCCUGCUCCUGAGGUUCCAAAAAGGAGUUGUCCUGGAUAGGGGCACAUUAAGAAAUCCCAGAGGGUUCAGAUCUAUAGGAGCUAUGAAAGGGUUCCUCCAACUGGAUCCGGCCAGGGAGAAAUCAAUCACUAACGCAGGGGGAAAGGUAUGCAGGGACCUUUCGUCACUUGGUGCUGGAGAAAGGAAGUGUGAAGGGUCGGUAAAAGCCAAAAGGGAAAUCAUGAAGGGAAGGAUAAAGCUUUUUACUCCCAAGUUAAAAUCACACUACAGAAAUCCAUCCUUCAGACUUUUAUGAUCAGUUGCUAAAAAGUCCAAGACAUUUGAGCCUACUCCAAAGUGCAUUUCUUGCAGGAUAUUUUGAGGGAAUUCAUUUUGUAAUGAUGCGGUGAACACAGAGCCCAGCCCGGUCUGUCUCUGAAUAUUGUACAUAGCACAGCAACACACAAAUAGAAAAUUAGCGAAUGUCUUGAUGAUUAAGAUCAUGUGACAGGGAGACCUCGUAUUCUAUUAAUUCAAGAAGCACAAUUUUCUAAGUUAAAGCCCAUAACACAACUCAAGCAUAGUAAAACUAUAUAUAAUUAAGAAUAGGCUGGGCAUUUUGGGAGGCCGAGGUGGACGGAUCACCUGAGGUCAGGAGUUUAAGACCAGCCUGGCCAACAUGAUGAAACUCCGUCUCUACUAAAAAUAGAAAAAUUAGCUGGGCAUGGUGGCACACACCUGUAAUUCCAGCUGCUCGAGAGGCUGAGGCAGAAGAAUCACUUGAACCUGGGAGGCGGAGGUGGCAGUGAGCCGAGAUAGCCCCACUGCACUCCAGCCUGGGCAGCAGAGUGAGACUCUGCCUCAAAAACAAACAAAAAUAGAAUAUGGGGCUAAGCAUGGUGGCUCAUGCCUAUAAUCCCAGCACUUUGGGAGGCUAAAGUGAGAGGAUUGCUUGAGGCCAGGAUUUCAAGACCAACCUGGGCAAGAUAGGGAGACU
rnacentral:lncRNA from 10 species